rnacentral:rRNA from 1 species
GCAGCGGCGGACGGGUGAGUAAUGCCUAGGAAUCUGCCUGGUAGUGGGGGACAACGUCUCGAAAGGGACGCUAAUACCGCAUACGUCCUACGGGAGAAAGUGGGGGCUCUUCGGACCUCACGCUAUCAGAUGAGCCUAGGUCGGAUUAGCUAGUUGGUGAGGUAAUGGCUCACCAAGGCGACGAUCCGUAACUGGUCUGAGAGGAUGAUCAGUCACACUGGAACUGAGACACGGUCCAGACUCUAUACGGGAGGCAGCAGUGGGGAAUAUUGGACAAUGGGCGAAAGCCUGAUCCAGCCAUGCCGCGUGUGUGAAGAAGGUCUUCGGAUUGUAAAGCACUUUAAGUUGGGAGGAAGGGUUGUACGUUAAUACCGUGCAAUUUUGACGUUACCGACAGAAUAAGCACCGGCUAACUCUGUGCCAGCAGCCGCGGUAAUACAGAGGGUGCAAGCGUUAAUCGGAAUUACUGGGCGUAAAGCGCGCGUAGGUGGUUUGUUAAGUUGGAUGUGAAAUCCCCGGGCUCAACCUGGG